GUGUACGUAGGUACGGAAACGAAAUGCAGCACUGGGUGAAGGACAUGAGGCACAGCACCCGCAUCAAGGACGAGGAAGGCUACCCUGCCUUUGCCCUGGUAAACAAGGUCACCGGCGAAGCCAUCAAGCACUCUCUCGGACAGAACCACCCGGUGAAGCUUGUGCCUUAAAACCGGAGUACCUGGAUGAGUCGGUGCUGUGGACGGAGAGCAAGGACGUGGGCAAGGGGUUCCGCUGCAUCCGCAUGGUGAACAACAUCUACCUCAACUUCGACGCCCUCCACGGCGACAAGGACCACGGCGGCGUCCACGACGGCACCGAGAUCGUGCUGUGGGAGUGGUGCAAGGGCGACAAUCAGCGCUGGAAGAUCGUCCCCUGGUAGAGCGUGAUGUUGUGUACAUGUCCGUUUACAGUUCAGUAGACAGAAUAAACCAGCAGGUCUGCAGCUACGUUGGAUGCCAGUAUUCUAUUCGAGAGUCGGGACCAGAUCGUUUAUUUCAGGAUGUGGAUGAGCUGCCGGCCGGCGAGGUGGCUAUAUCGGCGUUUGGUCUUCUGGGUGUGGUCGACUAUUCGCUAGGUAGAUCUGUGCACAUGUGUCGCCUCCGGCCUUGCCCCUGUGUACG